rnacentral:rRNA from 1 species
UACGUAGGGUGCGAGCGUUAAUCGGAAUUACUGGGCGUAAAGCGUGCGCAGGCGGUUCGUUAAGUCAGAUGUGAAAGCCCCGGGCUCAACCUGGGAACUGCAUUUGAAACUGGCGGGCUUGAGUGUGGCAGAGGGGGGUGGAAUUCCGCGUGUAGCAGUGAAAUGCGUAGAGAUGCGGAGGAACACCGAUGGCGAAGGCAGCCCCCUGGGCCAUCACUGACGCUCAGGCACGAAAGCGUGGGGAGCAAACAGG